rnacentral:lncRNA from 1 species
CUUUCAGUAAUAGAAUCAUUCUACAACUCCCCCACCAACACCUAUAAAUACUUGGCCAAGGCUCAACAUCAAGGUACGUUUUUCAUUAUCUUCAGUUUAUAGCCUCACACACUAAAUUCCCUAUCUGACUUAAGUAUCAGAGGGGCGACGAGCACACACCUCGUUGCCGUUGUUGCAGAUAUUCACAUAUUGGUCAUGUUCAUCAAAGUGAAGUUCGACCAUCGAGCUGAAGAUCUUUCAGGUGAUAUUUUUUUGUAGCAUCAACUACCUUUGCAUCUUCCUCUUAAUCUCUCUCGAUUGAAUGGGGUGUUUUUUGGUUUUGAACUCAAGCUCUUUGUCUUUGGACAGCAUCAACUACUACUGGAGCAUCAAGGACUUAGGCGCAUCACUACUGACCUAGACUUAGAACUGGUCAUCAAAUUGGCUAAGCAAAGUUCAAGGCGACAUGUGGUCAUCUUGAGCUGUGACAAAGGAACAUUCCAGUUAAAACUGGAGUUCGAAGAUGGAGCAGACGACGGCAUUUGGUCGAGGAAACCAUCAUGAGACACGUCGGACUGAAGUGGGAUAACAUCUAAUGUUUUGAUGAUUAUUCAUUUUCUUGGAGUGAUUGUUCUUGGUUUAACAAAGAAUUGAUAUUCAUGGCUUCCAAUUCUCUACCACACAUCCAAUCUGCAGAUGUUUUGAUUUGUAGAGAGUUGGUAGUGGUAUUUUGGGUAGGGUGAGGUGUGGACGAUUCUAAUUAUUUGAUUUGGUUAUGCUCAUGGUGGUACGACGGUGACGGUGGUUGAUGGGGAUGGAAAAUUUCUUGUUUUGGAAUGAGG